ACUAUCCUGCCUUGUACGUUAGUUUAGCUUUUGCUCAACCACAAGUCAUAAAAGGGAGCAAGCGUCCGACUUUUGAUGUCAGGCCACGUUGCAUUUGCAAGACUGCUUCGGCACUCCAGUGGAAAACAGAGAAAAGUUGGCAUUGUUUAACCCAUCCUGUUACAAACAGGUUGAUGUCCGCUAAACGACGGCAAAGGCGGGAUAUUU
rnacentral:other from 1 species